rnacentral:rRNA from 1 species
GACGAACGCUGGCGGCGUGCUUAACACAUGCAAGUCGAACGGAAAGGCCCUGCUUUUGUGGGGUGCUCGAGUGGCGAACGGGUGAGUAACACGUGAGUAACCUGCCCUUGACUUUGGGAUAACUUCAGGAAACUGGGGCUAAUACCGGAUAGGAGCUCCUGCUGCAUGGUGGGGGUUGGAAAGUUUCGGCGGUUGGGGAUGGACUCGCGGCUUAUCAGCUUGUUGGUGGGGUAGUGGCUUACCAAGGCUUUGACGGGUAGCCGGCCUGAGAGGGUGACCGGCCACCUUGGGACUGAGGUACGGCCCAGACUCCUACGGGCGGCAGCAGUGGGGAAUCUUGCACAAUGGGCGGAAGCCUGAUGCAGCAACGCCGCGUGCGGGAUGACGGCCUUCGGGUUGUAAACCGCUUUCGCCUGUGACGAAGCGUGAGUGACGGUAAUGGGUAAAGAAGCACCGGCUAACUACGUG